rnacentral:rRNA from 1 species
GACGAACGCUGGCGGCGUGCUUAACACAUGCAAGUCGAACGGAAAGGCCCUGCUUUUGUGGGGUGCUCGAGUGGCGAACGGGUGAGUAACACGUGAGUAACCUGCCCUUGACUUUGGGAUAACUUCAGGAAACUGGGGCUAAUACCGGCUAGGAGCUCCUGCUGCAUGGUGGGGGUUGGAAAGUUUCGGCGGUUGGGGAUGGACUCGCGGCUUAUCAGCUUGUUGGUGGGGUAGUGGCUUACCAAGGCUUUGCCGGGUAGCCGGCCUGAGCGGGUGACCGGCCACAUUGGGACUGAGAUACGGCCCAGACUCCUACGGGAGGCAGCAGUGGGGAAUAGUGCACAAGGGGCGGAAGCCUGAUGCAGCAACGCCGCGUGCGGGAUGACGGCCUUCGGGUUGGAAACCGCUUUCGCCUGUGACGAAGCGUGAGUGACGGUAAUGGGUAAAGAAGCACCGGCUAACUACGUG